rfam:Rattus norvegicus chromosome 4, whole genome shotgun sequence.
GUGGCAGCUUGGUUGUCGUAUGCGUGAUGACACGUUCUCGUGUAUUCCAGAAUGACAUCACAUAUAUGGCAGCUAAACUGUUAC